CCUACGGGAGGCAGCAGUGGGGAAUAUUGGGCAAUGGGCGCAAGCCUGACCCAGCAACGCCGCGUGAAGGAUGAAGGUUUUCGGAUUGUAAACUUCUGUCGCGAGGGACGAAGAAUGACGGUACCUCGUAAGAAAGCCCCGGCUAACUACGUGCCAGCAGCCGCGGUAAUACGUAGGGGGCAAGCGUUGUCCGGAAUGACUGGGCGUAAAGGGUGCGUAGGCGGAAUGCCAAGUCAGCGGUAAAAUCGCGGGGCUCAACCUCGCUCCGCCGUUGAAACUGGCGUUCUUGAGUGGGCGAGAAGUAUGCGGAAUGCGUGGUGUAGCGGUGAAAUGCAUAGAUAUCACGCAGAACUCCGAUUGCGAAGGCAGCAUACCGGCGCCCAACUGACGCUGAAGCACGAAAGCGUGGGUAUCGAACAGGAUUAGAUACCCGGGUAGUC
rnacentral:rRNA from 1 species